rnacentral:rRNA from 1 species
UACGUAGGGCGCAAGCGUUGUCCGGAAUUAUUGGGCGUAAAGAGCUCGUAGGCGGUUUGUCGCGUCUGCUGUGAAAACCUAAGGCUCAACCUUGGGCUUGCAGUGGGUACGGGCAGACUAGAGUGCGGUAGGGGUGACUGGAAUUCCUGGUGUAGCGGUGGAAUGCGCAGAUAUCAGGAGGAACACCGAUGGCGAAGGCAGGUCACUGGGCCGCAACUGACGCUGGAGGAGCGGAAAAGCAUGGGGAGCGAACAGG